AUUUCAGGCUCUGCUGUGUCAAGUCGGGGAGCGGCUCUUUGCUCAGCUUAGAGAACUGGAAGAGGCCGCAACCUUCUGCCUGCUGGAGGCUGGAGGAUGGAUGGAGCCUGGAGCCUGGGACACUACCUUGCUGUGGUUGGUGGUGGCGACAGAGCAGUAAGAGGGUGGCCGGCAGCAGGAGCUUGUCCUGCUGGGCUGGAGGACUAGGAGAAGGAAGAGGCACCACCACAUGCUGGAGGCUGAAGCCUGGAGUCUGUGCCACCAUGGCUCGCCUCGCUGUGGUUGGUGGUGACGCUGGAGACUGCAGCUGGGCCACAGUGGUAGAAAUGUGAUGGGGCCCCAGUUCCUGGCCAGCUUUUGCCAGAAGGAGAGGCUGGACUUUGGAAGGUGGGUGUGAGUGCCUUCAAUGAAACGGAUCCCUGCCACCUAGUCACCAGCGUGACAAGAUGAGGCUCUAACGGUUCCACUCCCUGAGUCCUGUCUUGGGCUUUUCUGGCUUUGCCUGCCCAACUGCUCCAAGCCAGGCUGAAGGAGGAGAAGGAGGAGUCACCUGUGGUACGGUCGAGCAGAUGAUGUGGCUCUGCAGCUUGCCUCAUGUGUUUGGUGGUGGUGAUGGAGACCGCAGCUCAACUGGAGCAGUAGGAGGGCACCCACGGGGACCAGGCGGUUUUUGGGGAACAGGUGGCGUUUGAUUGUAAGAGUAAGUUCCUUAGAGGUUGGAAACACUCUCUUUACGGAAUCUGCAAAUGGACAUUUCAGAGCCUAUUGAGGCCUACACUGAAAAACCAAAUAUCCUGCAAUAAAAACUACAAAUAAGCUACCUGUGAAAAUGUUUUGUGAGGUUUGGAUUCAUCUCACAGAUUUAACCCUUUGUUUUGAUUCAGCAGGUAGGAAACUCUUUUUCUAAGAUCUACUCUGAGACAUUUCUGAGCCCAAUGAGGCCUAUAGUGAAAAACUGAAUAUCCCACUUUAAAAACCAGAAACAAGCUAUUUGAAAAUAUGCUUUGCAAUAUGUGGAUUUCUCUCACAGAGUUAUACCUGUGUUUUGAUUCUGUAGGUUGAAAAAAUUCUUGUUAUAGAAUCUAUGAGGGGAUAUUUCAAAGUGCACUGAGGCCUAUAGUGAAAAACAGAAUAUGCCAUGAUGAAAACUAGAAAGAAGCUAUUUGUGAAAAUGCUUUGUGAUGUGUGGAUUUAUCUCACAGAGUUAAGCCUUUGUUUUUAUUUUGCAGGUUGGAAAUACUCUUGUUGUAGAAUCUAUGAAGGGACAUUUCAGAGCUCAUUGAGGCCUAUAGAGAAAAAUCAAAUAUCCUGCGAUAAAAACUGUAAAGAAGCUACCUCUGAAAAUACUUUGUGAUGUGUGAUUUUAUCUCAGAAGUUGAACUUUUCAUUUGAUUCUGCAGGUUGGAAACUCUUUUUUUGUAGAAUCUACAAGGAGACAUUUCAUAGCCCAUUGAGGCCUAUAGUGAAAAAUCGAAUAUCCCUUGAUAAAGACUAGAAACAACCUAUCUGUAAAAAUGCUUUGUGAUGUGUAGAUUCAUUUUACAAAUUUAAACCUUUGUUUUGCUUCAUCAGGUUGGAAACUCUUUGAAUCUACAAAGGGACAAUUCAGGGCCCAUUGAGGCCUUUAGUGAAAAACCAAUUACCCUCAGUAAAAACUAGAUAUAAGCUAUGGGUGAAAAUGCUUUGUGAUGUGUGGAUUCAUCUCACAAGUUAAACCUUUGUUUUGAUUCAGCAGGUUGGAAACACUCUUUUAAUAGAGUUUAUGAGGGAAAAUUUCAGAGCCCAUUGAAGCCUCUUAAUAAAAACUGAUAAGAAAUAGAAACAAGCUAUCUGUGAAAAUGCUUUGUGAUGUGUGGGUUCAUCUCACAGAGUUAAACCUUUGUUUUGAUUCAGCAGGUUGUAAAGAUUCUUUUUGUAAAAUCUAUGAAGGAACACUGAAGGCCUACAGAGAAACAUCGAAUAUUCUGCAAUAAAAACUAGAAACAAGCUAUUUGUGAAAAAGCUUUGCUAUAAAUGGAUCUUUUUCACAGAGUUAAAUAUUUGUUAUUAUACACAGGUUGGAAACACAUAUUUAGUAGAAUCUAAGAGGAGUCUUUUUUGAGUCCAUUAAGGCCUGUGGUGAAAAACUCAAUAUCCCACAAUUAAAACUAGAAACAGGCUAUCUGUAAAUAUGCUUUGCAAUAUAUGUUUGCAUCUCACAGAGUUAAAUUUUGGGUUUUAUUCAGCAGGCUGGAGACACUUAUUUUUUACAGUCUACUUCGUGACAGUCUACUUCGUGAGGCCUAAAGUGAAAAACCGAGUAUCUUGUGAUAAAACUACAAUCAAUCUGUGAAAAUGCUUUGCAAUGUGUGGAUUCAUCUCAAUGAGUUAAAUGUUUGUUUUGAUUCAGCAGGUUAGAAAUACUCUCUUCGUAGAAUCUAUGAAGGAACAUUUCGGAGCCCUUUGAGGCUUAUAGUGAAAAGCUGAAUAUCCUGUGAUAAAAACUAGAAACAAACUGUCUGUGAAAAUGCUUUGUGAUGUGUGGAUUCAUCUCACAGAGUUAAACCUUUGCUUUUAUAGAGCAGUUUGGAAACAAUUUUUUAGUACAAUCUAAGGGGACAUUAUUGAGCCCAUUCAUUCCUAUAGUGAAAAACAAAAUAUCCUGUCAUAAAAACUAAAACAAACUAUCUGUAAAAAUGUUUUGCAAUGUGUGGAUUCAUCUCAAAGAGUUAAACCUCUGUUUUGAUUCAGCAGGUUGGAAACACUCUUUUUGUAGAAUCUGCAAAGCAACAUUUCAGACCCCAUUCAGGCCUAUAGUGAAAAAUCAAAUAUCCCGCAAUAAAAACUAGAAGCAAGCUAUCCAUGAAAAUGCUUUGUGAUGUGUGGAUUUAUCUCACUGAGUUAAACGUUUGUUUUGAUUCAGCAGCAAAUGUCCUGCAAUAAAAACUACAAAGAAGCUAUGACUAAAAAUGCUUUGUGAUGUGUGACUUUAUCUCACAGAGUUUAACCUUUCUUGUCAUUCAGCAGGUUGGAAACACUCUUUUUCUACAAUCUACAAAGGUACAUUUUGGAGCAAAUUGAGGGUUAUACUGAAAAAUCGAUUAUCUCACAAUACAAACUAGGAAAAAGUUAUCCGUGAAAAUGCUUCGCAAUGUGUGAAUCCAUCUCACAAAUUUAAACCUUUGUGUUCAUUCAGCAGGUUGGAAACACUGUUGUUGUUGAAUAUGCGAAGGGACAUUUCAGAGCUAAUUGAGGCCUAUAGUGAAAAACCGAAUAUCCCAUGAUAAAAACUAUAAAGAAGCUAUCUCUGAAAAUAUUUUGUGAUGUGUGAUUUUCAUCUCACAAGUUGAACUUUUGUUUUUAUUCAGCAGGUUAGAAACUCCUUUUGUAGAAUCUACGACGGGACAUUUCAUAGCCCAUUGAGGCCUACAGUGAACAAACAAAUAUGCCUUGAUAAAAACUAGAAACAACUUAUCUGUGAAAAUGCUUUGCAAUGUGUAUAUUCAUCUUACAAAUUUAAACCUUUGUUUUGCUUAGCCGGUUGGAACCUCUUUGUUUGUAGAAUCUACAAGGGAAUAUUUUGGGACUCAUUGAGGCCUAUAGUGAAAAUAACAUAUCUCACGGUAAAAACUAGAAAAAAGCUAUGAGUGAAAAUGCUUUGCGAUGUAUGGGUUUAUCUCACAAUAUUAAACCUUUGUUUUGAUUCAGCAGGUUGAAAACACUGUUUUCGUAGAAUCUAUGAAGGGACAUUUUGGAGCCUAUUGAUGCCUAUGGUGAAAAACUGAAUACCCCACAAUAAAAACUAUAAACAACCUAUCUGUGAAAAUGCUUUGCAAUAUGUGGAUUCAUCUCACAGAGUUGAACCUUUGUCUUGAUUCAGCAUGUUUGAAAUACUGUUUUUGUAGAAUCUACAAGGGAUAAUUUCAGAGCAAAUUGAGGCCUAUAGUAUAAAAUCUAAUAUCCUGCAAUAAAAACUAGAAAAAAUCUAUCUGUAAAAAUGCUUUGUGAUAUGUGGGUUCAUCUCACAAAGGUAAAUCUUUAUUUUGAUUCAGCAAGUUGGAAACACUUUUCUUUGUAGAAUCUACAAGGGGACAUUUCAUAGCCCAUGGAGGCCUAUAGUGAAAAACUGAAUAUUCCAUGAUAGAAACUAAAGAAGCUAUAUGUGAAAAUACUUUGCAAUGUGUGGUUUCAUCUCACAUAGUUUAAACUUUAUUUUGAUUCAGCUAGGUUGGAAGCAUUCUUUUUGUAGAAUAUAUGAAGGGACAUUUUGGAGUCCAUGGAGGCCUAUAGUGAAAAACUGAAUAUUCCAUGAUAGAAACUAAAGAAGCUAUAUGUGAAAAUACUUUGCAAUGUGUGGUUUCAUCUCACAUAGUUUAAACUUUAUUUUGAUUCAGCUAGGUUGGAAGCAUUCUUUUUGUAGAAUAUAUGAAGGGACAUUUUGGAGUCCAUUGAGGCCUAUAGUGAAAAACCAAAUAUCCCAUCAUUAAAAACUAGAACUAAGCUAUCUGUGAAAUAGCUUUGCAAUGUGUGGAUUCAUGUCACAGAGCUAAACUUUUGUUUCUAUACAGCAUAUUGGAAACACACUAUUAGUAGAAUCUAAGAUGGGACAAUUCAGAGCCUUUUGAAGCUUAUAGUAAAAAAUUCAAAAUGUGGCAAAAUUUACAUACAAACUAUCUGUAAAAAUGCUUUGUGAUGCGAAGAUUCAUCUCACAGUGUUAAACAUUUGUUUUGAUUCAGCAUGUUGGAAAAAAUUUUUUGUAGAAUCUACAAAGGGACUUUUCGGAGCCCAUUGAGACCAAUAUUGAAAAAAUGAAUAUCCAGCUAUAAAAACUAGAAACAAGCUCUCGGUGAAAAUGCUUUGCAAUGUGUGGAUUCAUCUCUCAGAGUUAAACUUUUAUUUUGAUUCACCCAGUUGGAGACACUUAAUUGGUAGAAUCUAUUAGGGGACAUUUCAUAGCCCAUUGAGGCAUGUGGUGAAAAACUGAAUAUCCCGCAAUAAAAACCUGAAACAAGCGACCUGUGAAAAUGCUUUGUGAUGUGUGGAUUCAUCUCACAGAGUUAAACCUUUGUGUUGAUUCAGUAGGGUUGGAAAGACUUUUUUUAGAAACUACAAAGGAACAUUUUGUAGCCCAUUGAGGCCUAUAGUGAAAAACCGAAUAUCCGGUGAUAAAAACUAGAAACAAGCUAUUUGUGAAAAUGCUUUGCAUUGUAUAGAUUUAUCUCUAAUAGUCAAACCUUUGUUUUUAUACUGCAGUUUUGAAACGUUAUUUUAGUAGAACGUAAAGGAAGACAUUUCUGAUCCCUUUGAGGCCUAUAGUGAAAAACCGAAUAUCCCACAAUAAAAACUAGAAACAAGCUGUGAAAACGCUUUGGGAUGUGUAGAUUCAUCUGACACUGUGAAAAUGCUUUGUGAUGUGUAGAUUCGUCUCACAGAGUUAAACUUUGAUUAUAUACAGCAGGUUGGAAACAUUUAUUUUGUAGCAUUUAAGAAGGUACAAUUAAGAGUCCAUUGAAGCCUACAGUGAAAAACCCAAUAUCCAGUGAUAAAAACUAGAAACAAGCUGUGAAAAUUCUUUGCAACAUGUGGAUUCAUCUCACAGAGUUAAACCUUUGUUUUGAUUCAGUAGGUUGGAAGCAACUCUUUUUUUGAAUCUACAGAUUGACAUUAAAGAGCCCAUUGAGGCCCAUACUGAAAAACUGAAUAUCCUGUGAUAAAAACUAGAAACAAGCUGUCUGUGAAAAUGCUUUGCAAGGUUUAGAUUCAACUCACAGAGUUAAACCUUUGUUUUGAUUCAGCAGGAGGGAAACAAUUUUGUAAAAUCUACUAUGAGACAUUUCAGAGCAAAUUGAGGCUGAUAGUAAAAGUCCAAAUAUCCCUCGAUAUAAACCUGAAACAAGCAAUCUGUGAAAAUAAUUUUUGAUGUGUAGAUUCCUCUCAAAAAGUUAUACCUUUGUUUUGAAUCAGCAGGUUGAAAACACUUUUUUUGUGUGUAAUCUAUGAAGGGACAAGCUAUCUGACAAGGAUUUCAGAGCCCAUUGAGGCGUAUAGUGAAAAACAAAAAAUUCCAAACUAUCUGUGAAAAUGCUUUGCAAUAUGUGGAUUCAUCUCACAAAGAUAAAAGUUUGUUUUGAUUCAGCAGGUUGGCAACACUGUUUUUGUAGAAUCUAUAAGAGGACAUAUUUACAAGAGGUCCACUGAUGCCUAUGGUGAAAAACUGAAUAUCCCACUUUAAAAACUAGAAACAAGCUAUCUGAAAAUAUGCUUUGUGAUGUGUGCAUUCCUUUCACAUAGUUAUACCUUUGUUUUGAUUCAGAAGUUUGAAAACACUCUUGUUAUAGAAUUUUCGAAGGGACAUUUCAGAGUGCAAUGAGGCCUGUAGUGAAAAACCAAAUAUCUCACAAUAAAAACUAGAAACAAGAUAUUUGUGAAAAUGCUUUGCCAUGUGUGAAUUUAUCUCUCAUAUUUAAACCUUUAUUUUGAUUCAGCCUGUUGGAAACACUCUUUUUAUAGAAUCUAAAAAAGAAUAUUUCAAAGCCGCUAGAUGGCUAUACUGAACAACCGAAUACUCCACGAUAAAAACUAGAAACAGGCUAUCUUUGAAAAUGCUUUGUGAUGUGUGGAUUCAUCUCACAGAGUUAAAGCUUUCUUGUGAUUCAGCAGGUUGGAAGUACUCUUUUUGUAGAAUCUACAAGGGGAAGUUUUGGAGCAAAUUGAGGCCUACAUUAUACAAUCGAAUAUUCUGUGAUAAAAACGAAAAAAAAAAUCUAGCUGUAAAAAUGCCUUGUGAUGUGUGGUUUUACCUCACAAAGUUAAAUAUUUUUUUUUUUGAUUCAACAAGUUGGAAACACCUUUUCUGUAGACCUACGAGGGGAUAUUUCAUAGCUCAUGGAAGCAUAUAGUGAAAAACUGAAUAUCCCGUGAUGGAAACUAAGGAAGUUAUAUGUGAAAAUGCUUUGCAAUGUGUGGUUGUAUCUCACAGAGUUUAACUUUCUUUUGAUUCAGCUAGGUUAGAAACACUCUUUAUGUAGAAUGUACAAAGGGACAUUUCAGAGCCGAUUGAGGCCCAUUUCAAAAAACCAUAUAUCCUGUGACAAAAACAAGAAGCAAGCUAUCUGUGAAAUAGCUUUCCAAUGUGGGGAUAUUUCAGAGACCUUUGAGACCAAUAUUGAAAAAAUGAAUAUCCUGCAAUGAAAACUAGAAACAACCUCUUGAAGCCCAUUGAAGCCUAUAGCAAAAAACUGAAUAUCCCAUGAUAAAAAAUAGAAACAAGCUAUUUGUGAAAAUGCUUUGUGAUGUGUGAGUUCAUCUCACAGAGUUAAACCAUUGUUUUGAUUCAGCUGGUAGAAGACACUUAACUGGUACUACUAGAGGACAUUUUGUAGCCCACUGAGGCCUGUGGUGAAAAUCCAAAUAUCCCAUGAUAAAACUAGAAACAAGCUAUCUGUGAAAAUGCUUUGUGAUAUGUGGGUUCAUCUCACAGAGUUAAACCUUGUUUUGAUUCACCAGGUUGGAAAGACUCUUUUUGUAGAAUAUAUGAAGAAACAUUUCACAGCCCAUUGAGGCCUAUAAUGAAAAACUGAAUAUCCGGUGAUACAAACUAGAAACAAGCUAUUUGUGAAAAAGCUUUGUGAUGUGUGGAUUUCUUUCACAGGGUUAAAUAUUUGUUAUUAUACAUCAAGUUGGAAACACAUAUUUAAUAGAAUCUAAGAGGAGUCUUUUUGAGCCUAUUAAAAUCUGUAGUGAAAAACCAAAUAUCCCAUGAUUAAAACUAGAAACAGGCUCUCUGUAAAUAUGUUUGUGAUAUAUGGAUGCAUCUCACAUAGUUAAAUUUUGGUUUUUAUUCAGAAGGUUGGAGACACUUAUUUUUUUCAAUCUACUUGGUGACAAUACAGUUCUCAUUAAUGCCAAUAGUGAAAAUUCAAAUAUCCUGUGAUAAAAUUACAAACAAUCUGUGAAAAUGUUUUGCAAUGUGUGGAUUUAUCUCAAUGAGUUAAAUGUUUGUUUUGAUUCAGCAGUUUGGAAACACUCUGUGCGAUGUGUGGAUUCAUCUCACACAGUUAAACAUUUGUUGCCAUUCAGCAGGAUGGAAACAAUCUUUUUGUAGAAUCUACAAGGGUCAUUUUGACACCCGUUAAGGCUUAUAGUGAAAACCUGGAUAUCCUGAGAUAAAAACUAGAAAGAAGCUAUGUGUGAAAAUGCUUUGCAAUGUGUAAAUUCACCUCAUAGAGUUAAACCUUCAUUUUAAUUCAGAAGGUUGGAAACACUUUUUUUGUAGAAAGGACAUUUUGGAGCCUUUUGAAGCCUAUGGUGAAACCAGAAUAUCCCACAAUAAAUAUUAGAAGCAAGGUAUCUGUGAAAAUGCUUUGUGACAUGUGGAUUCAUCUUACAGAAUUAAACCUUUCUCCUGAUUCUGCAGGUUGGAAAUUCUCCUUUUGUAGAAUCUACAAAGAAAUAUUUUGGAGCCCAUUGAGGCUCAAAUAUCCUGCAAUAAACACUAGAAACUAGCUAUCUGUGAAAAUGAUUGGCGAUGUGUGGAUUAAUUUCACAAAAUUAAAACUUUGUUUUGAUUCAGCACUUUUGAACCACUUUUUUUGUAGCAUCUACGAAGGAACACUUCAGAGUCCUUUGACAGAAAGGGUUAUAGAGGGUUAUAGAGAAAAACGGAAUAUUCCAUGAUAAAAACUAGAAGCAAGUUCUCUGUGAAAAUUCUUUGCAAUGUGUAAAUUCAUCUCACAGAGUUAAACCUUUGCAUUGAUUCAGCAAGUUGGAAACACUCUCUUGUACAAUCUAUGAGGGGAUAUUUGGGAGCCCGUUGAGGCCUAUAGUAAAAAUUUGAGUGUCCCAUAAGAAAAACUAGGAAGAAUUUAUGUCUGAAGAUGCUCUGUAAUGUGUGAUUUCAUCUCACAGCUUUAAACCUUUCUUUUGAUUCUGUAGGUUGGAAUCACUAUUUUUCUUAGAAUCUAUGAAAAGACAUUUUGGAGCAAAAUGAGGACUAUAAUGAAAAAUUGAAUAUCCCACAAUAAAAAUUAGAAACAAGCUGUCUGUGAAAAUGCUUGGCAAUGUGUGGAUUCAUCUCACACAUCUCACAGAGUUAAACCUUUGUUUUGAUUCAGCAGGCCAAAAUUACUCUUUUGGUAAAAUCUACGAAGGAACAUUUUGGAGCCCAUUGAUGCCUGAGGUAAAAAACUGAAAACUGAAUAUCUUGUGAUAAAAACUAGAAACAAGCUUUCUGUGAAAAUGCUUUACAAUGCAUCAUUUUAUGUCACAGAGUUAAAUCUUUGUUUUGAUUCAGCUGGUUAAAAACACUCUUGUAGAAACUAUGAGAGGACAUUUCAGAACAUGUUGAAGUCUAUAGUGAAUAACAAAAUAUCCCGCAAUAAAAACUAGAAGCAAGCUAUCUAUGAAAAUGCUUUGUGAUGUGUGCAUUUAUCUUGCAGAUCUAAACAUUGUUUUGAUUCAUCAGGUGAGAAACACCCUUUUGAUGCAAUGUACAAACGGACGUUUCAGAGCCCACUGAGCCCCAUAGUCAUAAAACCAAAUAUCCUGCUAUAAAACUGGAAACGAGCUAUCUGUGAAAAUGUUUUGUGAUGUGUGGAUUCAUCUCAUAUAGUUAACCCUUUAUUUUGAUUCAGCAGGAUGAAAACACUCUUUGUGUAAAACCUACAAAAGGGAGGUUGGAAACACUCUUAUUGUGAAAUUUACGAAGGGACAUUUUGGAGCCCACUGAAGCCUAUGUGAAAAACCAAAUAUCUCACCAUUAAAACUAGCUAAACAAACUACCCAUGAAAAUGCUUGGCCAUAUGUGGAAUAAUUUUACAGAGUUAAAUCUUUGUUUUUAUUCAGCAAGUUGGAAAUGCUCUCUUGUACAAUCUACGAGGGGACAUUUUGGAGCCCAUUGAGGCUUGGAGUGAAAAACCAAAUAUCCAGCAAUAAAAACUAGAAACAAGCAAUCUGCAAAAAUGCUUUGUGAUGUGUUCAUUUAUUUUGCAGAGUUAAAACUUCAUUUUGAUUCAACAGGUUAAAAACACUCUUGUAGAAUAUAGGAAGUGACAUUUCUAAGCCCAUUGAGGCCUAUACUGAAAAACUGAAUAUCUCACAACAAAAACUAGAAAAAAAUCUAUCUGUGAAAAUACUUUGCAAUGUGAGGAUUUAUCUCACAGAGCAGGAUGAAAACACACUUUUUGUAAAUCUACAAAGAGGACUUUGGAAAAACUCUUUUUAUGAAUCUACAAAGGGACAUUUUGGAGCCCAUUCAGGUCUACAGUAGAAAACCAAAUAUUCCAGGAUAAAAACUAAAAACAAGCUAUCUGUGAAAAUGCUUCUUGAUGUGUGCAUUCACCAAAUAUAGGUAAACUUUUUUUUUGAUUCAGCAGGUUGGAAACCCUCUUUUUAUAGAAUCUACAAAGGGGCAUUUCGAAGCCCAUUGAGGCCUAUAGUGAAAAAUUGAACAUUCAACAAUAAAAACUAGUAACAAGCUAUAUUUGAAAUUGCUUUGUGAUGUGUGGGUUCAUCUCACUGUUACAUCAUCAUUUUGAUUUAGCAGGUUGGAAAUGCUCUUUUGUAGAAUCUAUGAAGGAACAUUUGGAAUCGCAUUAAAGCCUAUAGAGAAAAACUGAAUAUUCUGCAAUAAAAACUAGGAACGAGGUAUCUGUGAAAAUGCUCUUCGAUGUGUGCAUUCAUCUCACAGAGAUAAACAUUUCUUUUGAGUCAUCAGAUUGGAAACUCUUU
rnacentral:lncRNA from 1 species